GUCGUCUACGGUACAGAGCAUCGGGUGCAGAGGGGGUUAGGAGUUUCUUUAACGUGCGACGUAACAACGUUGGAGGUUAAUGAGGGCAUUAGGGGAACAGAGGGGGUUAGGAUUUUAAUUCCUCUAAUUUAGGGACGCUACUUCGGAACGGUAGCUAACGAAGAGAAGGAGAGUAAGUAAAGCGGGAAGAGGGAGAACUUCGAGUAGUGCGGCGAGCGGGCGACGGUUGAGGGUCGUAGAGGUUACAAACAAGUCAGCCCGCCACUCAUCCUCGUGGCGUUCGACACCCGUGCCGCCGCUGCUCGCGCGCCGGUCCCGACCUAAUGGUGGCGCUGCUGUUCGUCCGUCUAGGUUCUAGCUACCGAAGAUUACUUCCUCGUCUUCCGAGUCCAUACGGACCACGCCCAUUACCUUUGAAUCAACUAGGAAGCUGCGUUGUACGAUGUGGUUAUAAAGUCCGAUGGGACUGUAGACUCCAACGAUGAGGUUGUAGAGUUCAAUGUAGGUCGUCUCGACCACCAUUCUCUUUCGCUUGUAGCCGUCAUACCUUACUCUACCUUCUCUUUUAUCUUUUACCUGUUAACUUUCUGCUCACGUUAAUAACAGUGUUUUUUAAAUGACGUCCAGGUUCUCGACCGUGUUUAGUGAACGGAAACGUAAACCUUAGAACAGGACGAUCCGUACGUGGGUAUCCGGGUUUCGUUGUUUUUAAUUCCGACUGUUUUCCACUUCCACCGUUUCACUAAAACCUUUCACAGUAAAAAAUGGUUCUCUUCCGAUCCUCUCUAGAACCCAACUACUAUACACUUGUACUCAUAGGAAAUAGAUAGUACCUUGUAUCACCAAAAGCAUCUAAAACAAGAAGAGAUGUCGGCAACAAAUUCUACCACACGUCUUUAUGAUAAUCCUUACUAUAACACCGAUACGUAAGACGGGUUUCCCUCUUCUACCACUUAAAAAAACGUUGUAAAUUUGUGGCUCACCGACAGUGAUGCCUAAACACCUGUCGUCCGAUAGUUUUCUCUCCAAUGUACCGACAAUGGCGAGUGAUAUAACUACUAUGAACCUUAGAUUUCUCGAAAGAAUACUCCAAACGAAUACACGGUACAGGUGUAAGUCGACUCCAAUAUACACUUCGGAACAUACUCACAGAACAACUCACCGUGGAACUCGUCUUCUAGAGGUAACAGUGAAACCUGUUGAUGUGUAGUUUACUGUUCCGAUACCAAUAUAACGGUCUAUUCAACCUAUGUUCGAGAGAGUACAACCUACCAGUUAAUUACGUAUACGCAACACGUCGAGUGUAUAAUUUGAAUUAACACUUUCUACCUUACUCACAGAAUCUCGUUCCCUAUCUCUCCAACGCACUAGCACAACGUAAAACCAGUCGGUGUGGAUUUUCCGUGAUCUUCAAACUUUUCUACCGUUUUUGAAACUUGUAUCUCAUAUUGUUUUCCAAUUGAGAACUAACAUUCUGAUCUACUUUAAGUUGAAUAUGGUACUAAUCGUAACGUGAUGUCAUGUACCUCUAUAAACUUUUUAAUUUCGGUGCCCUUUUCUUUAAAUUCACAACGGGUUGGUUUCUACUAACCUUCAAACGUUUUCUUUAUACACUAUCCGACUUCGAGAAGAAACUAUAGUGGCUCAGUAAGAGUCCGUGGUUCAUACAGUGUCGUUUAGAAAAAAAGGGAUUUCACUAAUGGUAAGCGAAUCGGUAUUCCUUUACCCCAUUCUCACUGUAACUCGAAUAUGUUUUUUACAGACUCCUUUACUUCCUAUUCAAACUCUUCAUAACCUUUCUAUAGGUACCAGAAUACAGGCAACGUUGUCAAGAACUAGGUUCCAUAUUUGAAGUAUAAGAGUUACGAGAAAUACCGGGGGAGAUACCUUCUCUUGUACGUCGGUGGCUUUAUCUCUUCCAUUUCUUCAAUAACUAACUCAACCACUUCGUUUUAUUUCUACUUCAACUUCCACUCCUAUGUGUACUACGAAGAUAAUUCCUCGGUCAACCUCUUCUUCUACUUCGGUACUUUGAGAUACUGUACAUAAACAGAUCAGCGGGGUGCCAGGGAAGAAGUAGUUAGGUAUGUCUUAACCUGAACAUAAACCUUCUUCGAUCAAAAGAAUUUUUAUCUUGUGUUCUUAAGCUAUAAUAGUUAACCACCUUCCAAUCGCCGAGCUCCAAAGGAUGGAACGUUUUUGAUCGAGCACUAUAUAACGGAUAAGGGUAUUGUAGACACCGAAGGCCUACACACAAGUCGUGAUCACCUUCUCACGAGUCACGUGUAGCAUCAUCUGAAUGAGGAUUACACCGGCUUCGAGAGUACACGUACGUUCGAACCAGAGCACGUCUAUACAAUCCACCAACCUUGAGAUGUGAGAAACGAUGUAAGAUCUCACAAGAGUUCUCACUCCUUCUUCUCUACCUACUCAGAUGAAGUUGGUAGUGGGUCCUCACUUCUAUGCCGACAACAAACACGACCCAACCUUCGACUACCAACGAUACACACUACCGACCAACGAGUACAUCAACAACAAACACGAUCUACAACCGACGAUCGACGCAUCAACGAUAAAUACGAUCGACUACCCGCGAGGCCUACAAAGAAUAAAUAAUGAAUAGUCUACAAUAAAAGACUUCACAUAGGACCUCGAACACUUGUAUACAAAACAAGAGUAAUCAAAAGGUAAACGGUACACUGUGCAGACGUGAGUAACUGAAUAUGCAUACUCUAACACUAAAGUAUUAAAACUAUUAAAAGUACAUAACUAG
rnacentral:rRNA from 1 species